CAGCGUGAACUCUAUGCUUUUCCCAACAGGAAAUUUCCAAGCCCAGUCAUCCCAGCUGGGUCCAAAUGUAGAGGCAUAGUGUUUAAUCCUCUUUGGAGGAUGCUGGUUUCACAGCAGGACUGGAGGAGGGAGGCAGGUUUUAACUCUGCAUACUAUAUGUUGUAAAACCAAUAUAGCCUGGAAAUUCUUGUUCAUUGCUUCCUCUCACAUGUGUAGAAAGCUCUCAGCCUCUGAAGUCACAUAUCCAUGACUAAGACCCAAAUUGAGGGAUACAACUGAAAUAGGCCAGAAGGAAGCUUGCAACGAUGCAGAGACAUGUGUAGUUUCCUCUAAGCCCAGCUUCACGGAUUGUCAUUUCUGAUGUCAAUAACUCAUAGUAACAAAUAGAGAGGUGAAGUCAGUCUUGUGAGAGAGGGAGAUAUGUUUGAAUUUAAAAUGACUAACAUUUCAUUUCUGUCAACCAGGUAAGGUGGGGGAGGGUGAGUUUUUGUGGCAGGGGAUUUUUUAAACACUGAUCAUAGGUCACCUUAUCCUAUUUCUUCCAGUUUGUGAGUAAGAAACCGUGCUGCCAAUGGCAGUGUAAUAUUGAUUCAGUACUUUGAACUAGUAUCAGAGGGGUAGCCGUGAGUCUUAAAGGUGCCACAGGACCCUCUGUUACUUUGAACUAGUGCUAGUUCCAACUGGAAUGGACAGGCACUUCUGAAAAGUGAAGACAGAGACAGUGUUAGGAAAAGAAUUCAUAGUGAAUCUAGGCACGGAGGUUUUUUCUCUAAGUCUUAUGGCUAAGUCGCUCAAUUUUCUUCAGGAGCAAUACAAUAGCACUUUCCAGAAAACUAGCUGCAGCAGAAUAUUUAUUAGUAGGCAGGAACAUUUAGGGGCUUCAAUAGGGAAAUUUUUGUGAACCUUGGUAUUCACCAUACACUGAUGUUCAUUAAGAUUGUUCAAGGUUACGCAUUUAUAUAAGAAAAACAAUUCAGAGUUCGGUGCAAUCAGUAAUUCCAGUAUGAAAAAGCACCAUGUCACAAAACAGUUUACAAUACAAAAUUCUUCAAAAAUCUAACAUUUAAAAAACAAUAUUUGUUCAACAAUAAUAAUAAUACAGUAAAAAAUUCUUAUUUCCCUUCAAACAAUACUGCUCAUAUGUUUGGCACUGAAAAAGAAACUGUCACAAAUGUAUCUUUUUUAACCACACAAUUCUGUUUUAUGUGUGUUUGUAUAACAAGGAAAAACAGUUGCUAAAUUUAUCAUUUUGCCAGAUGCAUUUUAAACUGUUUUC